rnacentral:tRNA from 1 species
AGUUCCAUAAUGUAGCAGUUAGCACGUCUGCUUUACAUGCAGAAUGUCUUGGGUUCACGCCCCAGUGGAGCCA